rnacentral:rRNA from 1 species
AUGGAGUUGAGUUCCAGCAUCGGAGCCGCGCUUAUUAGUUCGCCGAUAGCUUCGGCGUUAGGCGACCGCGACGUCCAGCAGUUGGAGGUGCCGUCUUCUCGCGGGGUUACGAUGCCAGCGCCCAUGAAUCCCCUGCUGCUGGCAUCGGCAUGCUUCGGCUCCUUGGGUGCACUGAAUUUCCUUUUCAGCAGGGAAGAUGCACAAAAGCCCCCGCUGAUUAUGCCUACUCAGGAAUUUCUUGACUUGCUAACCCCUGUCAGCAGCACCAGGAAAAGGCUGACCGUGCCACAAGCUUCUGGUGAUGUAGAAGACGGCGUUGAUCAGUCUUGUUUGCCAUCAGCAGCUAAGCUUCUCAAGGGCGUCACGGCUGAGGGGGACACCGCGCUACAUGUGGUUGCCAGCCAUGGUCAUGGGGACAGCAUAGAAUUUCAGAACUGUGCUCGCAUCAUCAACGAGAGAGACCAAGGCCUCCUGUUUGCGGUGAACAGAAAGGGUGACACGCCCUUGCAUUGUGCCGCCAGAGCUGGUAAAUCCCGAAUGCUUUCUUGUCUCAUUGAACUAGCUCAAAGUUGCAACAGGUUGCACGAGCUUGUGAGGAAGGAGAAUGUGCUUAAGGAGACGGCCUUGCAUGACGCUGUCCGCAUUGGAAGUAAUGAUAUUGUGGAGCUUCUGUUGGAGGCUGAUCCUGAGUUGACUAAUUAUCCUAAAGAAGGCACUUCACCAUUGUACCUAGCAAUUUCACUGGAAAGGAACAUCAUUGCAAAGACACUAUAUAAGAAGAGUGGUGGAAAUCUGUCAUAUCACGGACCAUAUGGGCAAAAUGCGUUACAUGCUGCGAUUCUCCGUGGCACAGCGUUGACAGAAGAUCUGUUGGAAUGGAAUAACAUCCUUACAAUACAUGGGGACAGAGAUGGCAGUACGCCUCUUCACUUCGCUUCAUCUCUACAUAGUCGCCCAGGUGCAGAACCGUUGCAAAAUCGCACUAUCAUCCGUGGCUUAUGGCAUUCAAACAUAUUCGAGAAAGUAUUCGAAUCUAACCUGGCACCAGUGUAUCAAGCAGACAACAAAGGAUUGUUUCCCAUACAUGUCGCUGCCUCGCUAGGUGUGAAAGGUACCAUACGGACUAUUCUUAAAAAAUGUCCCAGUAGUGCUGGAUUGCGCAAUGCUAAAGGAGGUACAUUCCUUCACGUUGCUGUCGAGAAUAAAAGGUGGCAGAUAGUCUCAUAUGUUUGCCAAACUCCAACCUUAUCUUGGAUUUUGAAUAUGCAAGACAAUGAUGGAAAUACUGCAUUGCAUUUAGCUGUAAAGGCUGGGAUGAUUCGAAUGUUUUUCCAAUUGUACGGCAAUAAGGAAGUGCAUUUGAGUUUAACAAAUAGAAAUGGAGGGACUCCCCUUGAUCUAUCCAGAAGCUUGUUGCGUCCUGGGAUGCAUUAUGCUCAGAACAGUGACAAGAUUAUACACAAGGCACUCACACUGGCUCAUGCUAAACAUAGUGGCCAUCGCUGGGAUCAGAUUUAUGAGAAGUAUAGUCGCCCAUUUAAACCAGAGGACAAGAUCAAAGAAGCAGAGAAGAUGAAGGAUUCAAGCCAAAUACUAGGCAUUGGUUCAGUUUUAAUAGCAACUGUGGCAUUCGGGGCGACCUUCGCUGUUCCCGGAGGUUUCAUCGCAGACGAUCAUACCAAUAGAGGCACACCAACAUUUGCUGGGAGGUAUACCUUUGACGCAUUCAUGAUGGCUAACGCGUUAGCUUUCAUUUGCUCCUCCAUAGCUACCAUUGGUCUCAUGUACUCUGGAUCGCCUAUGGUUGACUUGGGUAUCCGCCAAAUCAACUUUGCUGUAUCCGUGUUUUUCAUGGCAAGUUCGGUCACCAGCUUAUCAGCUGCCUUUGCACUUGCUGUGUAUAUGGUGCUCGCUCCGGUCACUCGUACUACUGCCAUUGCGGUAUGUGCGUUUAGUCCUCUCAUAGUGUUAUCUCGAAAUUUGGAAAGCUUGGCAAAAUUCGCAAUCCUUGCACGGCCACUAUGCGUUAGGAUUGGACUUCGGGCAUUACUGAUGUUAGCAAACAUGAUCUUUUCCCGAAUGCUCUGGGAACUCUGGCCCUUCAUAAUUAUCUUUGGGUGGGCCGCAAUUGCACAGAAGCUCCAGAACCACUGA